rfam:Tumebacillus flagellatus strain GST4 Contig053, whole genome shotgun sequence.
CGGAAAGGUCACACCUGUUCCCAUCCCGAACACAGAAGUUAAGCUUUCCAGCGCCAAUGGUACUCGGACCGCAGGGUCCCGGGAGAGUAGGACGUCGCGAGGC